rnacentral:rRNA from 1 species
ACUCCUACGGGAGGCAGCAGUGGGGAAUAUUGCACAAUGGGCGCAAGCCUGAUGCAGCCAUGCCGCGUGUGUGAAGAAGGCCUUCGGGUUGUAAAGCACUUUCAGUCGUGAGGAAGGUAGUGUAGUUAAUAGCUGCAUUAUUUGUACGUUAGCGACAGAAGAAGCACCGGCUAACUCCGUGCCAGCAGCCGCGGUAAUACGGAGGGUGCGAGCGUUAAUCGGAAUUACUGGGCGUAAAGCGCAUGCAGGUGGUUUGUUAAGUCAGAUGUGAAAGCCCGGGGCUCAACCUCGGAAUAGCAUUUGAAACUGGCAGACUAGAGUACUGGUAGAGGGGGUUAGAAUUUCAGGUGUAGCGGUGAAAUGCGUAGAGAUCUGAAGGAAUACCGGUGGCGAAGGCGGCCCCCUGGACAGAUACUGACACUCAGAUG